ensembl:snRNA U6 U6 spliceosomal RNA
GUGCUCGCUUCAGCAGCACAUAUACAAAGAUUGGAAUGGAAUGAAACCGAGAAGAUUAACGGGGCCCCUGCCUGAGCACGACGUGCAAAUUCGUGAGACGUUCCAUAUCUUU